rnacentral:tRNA from 1 species
GCGAUAUUAGUGUUAGUGGUUAGCACGUUAGCUUCCCAAGCUAAAAGCGUCAGUUCGAGCCUGAUAUAUCGCU